rnacentral:tRNA from 1 species
CGCUAAGAAGCUAACCAGGUAACAGCGCUAGCCUUUUAAGCUAGAGAUUGGUGACUCCACCCACCCUUAGUGA